CGGCAGGUAGCUUAGUGGUUAGAGCGUUGGGUCAGUAACCUAAAGGUUGCUGGAUCAAAUCCCCGAGCUGA
rnacentral:tRNA from 1 species